rnacentral:rRNA from 1 species
UACGGAGGAUGCAAGCGUUAUCCGGAUUUAUUGGGUUUAAAGGGUGCGCAGGCGGGAGAUUAAGUCGGCGGUGAAAUUUUGCAGCUUAACUGUAAAAGUGCCUUCGAAACUGGUUUCCUUGAGUGUAGAUGAAGUAGGCGGAAUUUGUGGUGUAGCGGUGAAAUGCAUAGAUAUCACGAGGAACUCCGAUUGCGCAGGCAGCUUACUAAACUACUACUGACGCUCAGGCACGAAGGCGUGGGGAUCAAACAGGAUUAGAUACCCCCGUAGU